rnacentral:rRNA from 1 species
AGAGUUUGAUUCUGGCUCAGAACGAACGCUGGCGGCAGGCCUAACACAUGCAAGUCGAACGAACCUUCGGGUGAGUGGCGCACGGGUGCGUAACACGUGGGAAUUUACAUUUCGGUAAGGAACAACACAGAGAAAUUUGUGCUAAUACCUUAUAAUGACUCCGGUCCAAAGAUUUAUCGCCGAAAGAUAAGCCCGCGCUAGAUUAGUUUGUUGGUGAGGUAAGAGCUCACCAAGACUACGAUCUAUAGCUGGUCUUAGAGGAUGAUCAGCCACACUGGAACUGAGACACGGUCCAGACUCCUACGGGAGGCAGCAGUAGGAAUAUUGCGCAAUGGAGGAAACUCUGACGCAGCCAUGCCGCGUGAAUGAAGAAGGCCCUAGGGUUGUAAAAUUCUUUCAGAUGCGAAGAUAAUGACGGUAACAUCAGAAGAAGCUCCGGCUAAAUUCGUGCCAGCAGCCGCGGUAAUACGAAUGGAGCGAGCGUUGUUCGGAAUCAUUGGGCGUAGAGCGUAUGUAGGUGGAACAGAAAGUUGGAAGUGAAAUCCCAGGGCUCAACCCUGGAAUUGCUUUCAAAACUCCUGUUCUAAAGUCCCGGAGGGGUAAGGGGAAUUCCGAGUGUAGAGGUGAAAUUCGCAGAUAUUCGGAGGAACACCAGUGGCGUAGGCGCCUUACUGGACGGGAACUGACACUGAGAUACGAAAGCGUGGGUAGCAAACAGGAUUAGAUACCCUGGUAGUCCACGCCGUAAACGAUGUGUGCUAGAUGUCGGGUCCAUAGGAUUCGGUGUCGCAGCUAACGCACUAAGCACACCGCCUGGGGAGUACGGUCGCAAGAUUAAAACUCAAAGAAAUUGACGGGGACCCGCACAAGCGGUGGAGCAUGUUGUUUAAUUCGACGCAACGCGAAGAACCUUGCCUACACUUGACAUACUCGUCGGGGAUUUCAGAGAUGAUUUCCUUCGGUUCGGCCGGACGAUGUACAGGUGCUGCACGGCUGUCGUCAGCUCGUGUCGUGAGAUGUUUGGUUAAGUCCAGCAACGAGCGCAACCCCUAUCGUAUGUUGCCAGCAUUCAGUUGGGCACUCAUGCGAGACUGCCGGUGUUAAGCCGGAGGAAGGUGGGGACGACGUCAAGUCAUCAUGGCCCUUACGUGUAGGGCUACAAACGUGCUACAAUGGCUAUUACAGUGGGCAGCGACAUCGCGAGGUGAAGCUAAUCCCUAAAAGUAGUCUCAGUUCGGAUAGGACUCUGCAACUCGAGUCCUUGAAGUCGGAAUCGCUAGUAAUCGUGGAUCAGCAUGCCACGGUGAAUACGUUCCCGGGUCUUGUACACACCGCCCGUCACACCAUGGGAGUUGGUUUUACCCGAAGGCGCCGCGCUAACUACGGAGGCAGGCGACCACGGC